rnacentral:rRNA from 1 species
AGAGUUUGAUCAUGGCUCAGAACGAACGCUGGCGGCAGGCCUAACACAUGCAAGUCGAGCGCUCUCUUCGGAGGGAGCGGCGGACGGGUUAGUAACGCGUGGGAAUAUACCCUUCACUACGGAAUAGCCUCGGGAAACUGAGAGUAAUACCGUAUACGCCCUUCGGGGGAAAGAUUUAUCGGUGAAGGAUUAGCCCGCGUUAGAUUAGAUAGUUGGUGGGGUAAUGGCCUACCAAGUCUACGAUCUAUAGCUGGUUUUAGAGGAUGAUCAGCAACACUGGGACUGAGACACGGCCCAGACUCCUACGGGAGGCAGCAGUGGGGAAUCUUGGACAAUGGGCGCAAGCCUGAUCCAGCCAUGCCGCGUGUGUGAUGAAGGCCUUAGGGUCGUAAAGCACUUUCGCCAGGGAUGAUAAUGACAGUACCUGUAA